rnacentral:rRNA from 1 species
AUUGAACGCUGGCGGCAUGCCUUACACAUGCAAGUCGAACGGCAGCACGGGAGCAAUCCUGGUGGCGAGUGGCGAACGGGUGAGUAAAGUAUCGGAACGUGCCCAGUCGUGGGGGAUAACGUAGCGAAAGUUACGCUAAUACCGCAUACGAUCUAUGAAUGAAAGCGGGGGAUCGCAAGACCUCGCGCGAUUUGACCGGCCGAUAUCAGAUUAGGUAGUUGGUGGGGUAAAGGCUCACCAAGCCGACGAUCUGUAGCUGGUCUGAGAGGACGACCAGCCACACUGGGACUGAGACACGGCCCAGACUCCUACGGGAGGCAGCAGUGGGGAAUUUUGGACAAUGGGCGAAAGCCUGAUCCAGCCAUGCCGCGUGCAGGAUGAAGGCCUUCGGGUUGUAAACUGCUUUUGUACGGAACGAAAAGGUUUGGCCUAAUAAGCUGAGCUCAUGACGGUACCGUAAGAAUAAGCACCGGCUAACUACGUGCCAGCCGCCGCAGUAA